rnacentral:lncRNA from 1 species
AGGGCACUGGGCGCCCAGAGUAACCAACACCGAGACGAAUAGCGAGGGCUCGGGGAGAAAAAACGGAGGAUGGCAAACGGCAAAGCCAAGGGCACGAGAAACCUGUUUAUGCACCCUGCUGCAAUCCCACCACCUGCCCAGGCCAAGUGAGCCCCUCUCCGCUACUGGUGUUUCAUAAUGCUGGGAGCUACUUUGAUUUCAUGCAUUGCCCUUCAGCUGCCAUGUUAUGAGGACACUUGGAGAAAGCUACAGGAGAGGAACUGAGGUCUCCUGCCAUCAGCCACUUGAGUGAGCAUGGGAGUGGAUUCUCCAAACUCCAGUUAAGACUUGAGAUGUCCACAGUGGCAGCCACUAGCUUGACUGCAACUUACGAGAGACACUGAGCCAGAGGCACUCAGCUAAGUCAUACACAGUUUCCUGACCCGUAAAACCUGUGACACAAUGAAGGUUUGUUGUUUUGGGGGUAAUCCGUUAUUCAGCAAUAGAUAACGAAUACAGAAGGCUUGUAAUUGUAUAACCAACGUGAGUUUAUAA